GACAAACGCUGGCGGCGUGCCUAAUACAUGCAAGUCGAACGGGGAAAGUAGCAAUACGAGUACUAGUGGCGCACGGGUGAGGAAUACAUGGGUAAUCUGCCCUCGAGCUCGGGAUAACCAGUCGAAAGACUGGCUAAUACCGGAUAUGACCACAAGAUCUGAGGAUCAAGGGGUAAAAGGUUUUUCGCUUGAGGAUGAGCCCAUGUGGGAUUAGCUAGUUGGUGUAGGUAACGGCUCACCAAGGCGACGAUCCCUAACUGGUCUUAGAGGAUGAUCAGUCACACUGGAACUGAGACACGGUCCAGACUCCUACGGGAGGCAGCAGUAGGGAAUAUUGCACAAUGGAGGAAACUCUGAUGCAGCGACGCCGCGUGAGUGAUGAAGGCCUUCGGGUCGUAAAGCUCUGUCGUAUGGGACUAACAAAAUGAAGGUACCAUGCAAGAAAGGGUCGGCUAACUUCGUGCCAGCAGCCGCGGUAAU
rnacentral:rRNA from 1 species